rnacentral:rRNA from 1 species
GAUGAACGCUGGCGGCGUGCCUAAUACAUGCAAGUCGAGCGAACGGACGAGAAGCUUGCUUUUCUGAUGUUAGCGGCGGACGGGUGAGUAACGCGUGGAUAACCUACCUAUAAGACUGGGAUAACUUCGGGAAACCGGAGCUAAUACCGGAUAAUAUUUUGAACCGCAUGGUUCAAAAGUGAAAGACGGUCUUGCUGUCACUUAUAGAUGGAUCCGCGCUGCAUUAGCUAGUUGGUAAGGUAACGGCUUACCAAGGCAACGAUGCAUAGCCGACCUGAGAGGGUGAUCGGCCACACUGGAACUGAGACACGGUCCAGACUCCUACGGGAGGCAGCAGUAGGGAAUCUUCCGCAAUGGGCGAAAGCCUGACGGAGCAACGCCGCGUGAGUGAUGAAGGUCUUCGGAUCGUAAAACUCUGUUAUUAGGGAAGAACAUAUGUGUAAGUAACUGUGCACAUCUUGACGGUACCUAACCAGAAAGCCACGGCUAACUACGUG